rnacentral:rRNA from 1 species
AGUGAACGCUGGCGGCAGGCCUAACACAUGCAAGUCGAACGGUAGCACAGAGGAGCUUGCUCCUUGGGUGACGAGUGGCGGACGGGUGAGGAAUACAUCGGAAUCUACCCUGUCGUGGGGGAUAACGUAGGGAAACUUACGCUAAUACCGCAUACGAACUGAGGUUGAAAGCAGGGGACCGCAAGGCCUUGCGCGAUUGGAUGAGCCGAUGUCCGAUUAGCUAGUUGGUAAGGUAAAGGCUUACCAAGGCGACGAUCGGUAGCUGGUCUGAGAGGAUGAUCAGCCACACUGGAACGGAGACACGGUCCAGACUCCUACGGGAGGCAGCAGUGGGGAAUAUUGGACAAUGGGCGCAAGCCUGAUCCAGCCAUGCCGCGUGUGUGAAGAAGGCCUUCGGGUUGUAAAGCACUUUUGUUGGGAAAGAAAAGCGGUCGGUUAAUACCCGGUCGUACUGACGGUACCCAAAGAAUAAGCACCGGCUAACUUCGUGCCAGCAGCCGCGGUAA